GUAACUAACUUUUGCAUCAAAAAUAUAUGCUACUUUUGCCCCAGCUUCUUCUUGAGGCAUGUUGAUCUGGUACUUGGAAACACGCAUAUACAUACAUAUGCAGUAUUUACAAUAAUCCUUUGUGAAAAGCUCGACCUUAGGCACCGGUCAUCCGAAAAGCUAGAAUAAAUUGAUAUUGAGAUCCAUAUCAAUAGCAGUUCUUUCCCGGAUCUGUAAAUAGUGAGCAUCUGUGGCUUCCCAGGUAUAAGGCUUCUUCUCUCUGGAUAACAUAGGGUUACCUCAACAUUCUAUCGCAAGCUAUGGGAAAGAGUUGAUGAAUUAAGGAGUUUAGAUCCUAAUUAAGUCUUUGCAUUGUUACAGCAAUUACAUAUCACAAAUUACGAUUUUAAGGUCAGGCUAUUAGAAUAAAUCUACAGAAUGUACAGCUAGUUGACCAUUGGGAAUUGAGGCGGUUUAACACUGCAACUUCCUUUAGUAACUUCUUUGAUAAGUAUUAGAAGCAUAUACUCUUUGAACGCAAUCAAGUAGGGACACAUUUGUUUAUUGGCUUCAUUGAGGAAUGUGUUGCUUGAAUAGAAUAGGACUAAACCUACCAUGAGCAGCAUUGUCUAAGCUGUUGAAUUUACUUGUUCCCAUUUUGUAAAAUUCAUCACUUGUACUAGCUGCUUCUUGUUUGCUACUGCUUCAUUCCUAUUUGUCUGCAUAUAUCCAAGCUGAGAAUUAGCAUUGCAUAUGCAGUUCCCUCAGAUAUUAUUAAAUGCAAUUAUAGCAGCCCUUCAUUGUUGAAAUUUCUUUGAUCAGAAAAUGGAGUCAGGAGCCGCAAUAUCAUUAGGUACCAUACUCCCCAAGAAAGGAAGCCUAUUUUAAUAUGUUUUUGCACUGAAUUUUUUUCUUUCUUUUUUUUGGUUGUUCUUGCUUUUGGUGCAUUUCAGAUCUUCGGAAACAUGAAGAAAGAUGCAUAUUCAUUGAAUUUGCUUGCUGUGAUGAAGAAUAUCACCAAACUGGCCGGGUUAUGAGCUAAAUAUGAGUUCUUCUACAUUGUUACAUUGUUUUUUCCCUGAUGAGAAACAAAUAGUUUUAUCAGUAUAGUUGCAGCGUAGUAUUAACUGGAGAAUAAACUGUCCACUGAAAAUACAUAAAAGGACCUUAGAUGUCCAUCUGCUAGACAUAUUCAAACAAAA